UUGACGGUAACGAGUUAACCACACCUUAAGGCACACGAUGAUGUCAACCUUACCAUUGUCAAACAGCUCCAAAUAAAACCGUUAGUUUCCGUAGGCCGUAAAUAUAUAUAUAUAUAUAUAAUUUAUAUGAAACAAAAUUCGAAUGAAUAUGAUAAAACUUUAAAGUAAUAACAAUUUUUUAACAGAGAUGGCUAUUUUAGGGUGUAGGUACGCCCAGAUACAAUGUGAAUGCUUAUUAAUAAAUCUAAAUCUAUUUUGACCUACCUCAGAAGAUAAAGCUAGAGAAAAUGUCCAAGCUUCGUGAUUAGCACCCCAUUCCAUGCGGCUGUUGAGAAGAUCUUGGACAGUGUCAAUAGAUGGCUCAUACUGCGGUACAGUAAAUGUAGAAGCAAGUCCAGCUCCGUAAGCACUUACCAAAAUCAAACUUGAAACUAAAAGCCAACCAAUAACAGAACGAAUGCGCCAAGAGUCGCUUACUAUAUACUGAGACUGAAAAUAAAUCGGAAAAAAGGCCUAUUGUUACAAAUAGACAUUUAAAAAUGUUGUUGUCUACAACACCUACAAAAUCUAACCUGUGAAAUUAUAGUACCAAAGACAAUUAAUAGAGCUUUGUUAGAAGAACAUCCCUGAGCGAUUGUCAAACCGAUGCUGGCAUACACAAAUGUAAUCACGACAGCUAUCCAUAUACUUUUACCGAAUGGCAGAAAAGGUAACUCCCAACUUUCCAAAACUCUAAAAACAAAUAAUCAUGUAAUCAUGUAAAAAUGCAAUUUGUUUUUGUGUCUUUAUGAAUUAUGAAUACAACAAACCUUGGAGCUGGUACCAAGCAUAUUACAGCCGAUCUGACAACAGAAACUGAAAAAUCCAUGGCUUUCCAUUCUUCAUACCACGAAUAUAAAGCGGCUGAAAGACACAUCGAAAACAUUAACUAGGGAAAAGUGCUUUCAUUAUGUGUAAACGACUUUUUUAUGGAGCUAUUGCUCUUGACACUGAAGUCUUUUAAGCUUCACCAGGAGAGGUAAACGAAGUCAAGGGCUCAGGCGGUAAAGCAGAGUUUUUAAAGGCCUAAAAGCUCAAAGCCUUCUUUCUGCUUCGCUAUUGCAUAUACCAACAGAUCGAAAUUGGGAUCCGAUAAGAAGAUCCGGCGAGAAACUCGACGGACUGAUGGUAUGAGCUACGUCGUCGCCGCUACGAAAAUCACUUCAGCAGAUGGUAGUGUUAGAACUAGAUACGUCCAUCGGGACGUGCUUAAGGCGUCGCCGAUGACUGGGCGAAGGGUGAAGUUAGUGGCCGUUACGAAACUGUUAUCGUUCCGCAUCGCGAAGAUCUACAUUGGUCACGUUUCACGGUGCUGGGACGGCUAAGGAUUAUAUACCAAACUAAAAUUAGUUUUAUUCUUAUUUCUAUUUAGUGUUCGAAACGUCGGAAAUAAUAUAAAGACAAUAAAAACACUAAAUUAAAUUUUAAGUUGUUUUAAGUAUAUUAUUAUUAUUACGUCUAGGACUCGCGAAAACCAAAAAUAAAAUACUAGUAAUCCCAAGACUUAGAGGGAAGCUUAUGAGAGAGCAAGGGCCGCAUGAGCGAAAAUCACUUCCUAAGAUGAUAGGUCAUGCUCGGACGUACGCAAGUUUUCUAAGAUGUUUCUUAAUGAUAGUUAUGAUAGUAAUAUGAUAGUUUACUCCGCUUAAAGAUAAUGAAGUCUGCCGAGGAUGAAAGUAGCGCGUUCACGGACUGCCUUUUUAUAUGAGGCUUGAAAAUCAUGGAUUUAUCUAGAUGACUCCCAGAUACAUGAUAAUCCUGGGCUAGGGUAUAGACGCUUUCACCGUAUAAUGGUGUCACGCGAAUUGCUUAAAAACAAUGCGCUUAUUUCAUACUUUUAGCGGUAAUCACUGAGGGGCCUGUCUGUGCUUCACUAGGAAUCUUGAAAACGAUUGGAUUGAUAUUCUGCGAACUAACAACGUGUAACAUCUUUUAUUAUUCCUUGGAUUUAAAAGUUUACGCAUUGCUGAUGUGUAUAUUAAUAAAUAAUCUUGUCCUUAUAUUCUUGUUUAAAAUUAAAAUUAUUUACUGUGAUAGUUAUAUAAGUAAAAAUUAAAUAAGUUCACGACGGCGACAAGUUAAAUAAACGACUCGAAAAAAUGUUUAAUGUUUUGUAUUCUCAGGUUCAUAGUCUGGCACCGAAGCCACUAAAGCUAAUGGAUAUUUUGUUAUUUUAACACGACAUGAAACAUACGGUUAGCGCCACCUCAAAACUUACUUCAAAUUAAUAAUCUUGAUACUUUUAAAACAAGUUUAAUGUAGUGUGUAUGUCUAUUUAAUAAUUUCAUUUGAUUCAUCAUAAUUUAACUAGUAUGUACUAGGUAUAUGAAUGAUUGUGAAUCUACCUAUGACUGAUUAAGGUAAUAAAUAAACGACCCCUUGGAAUUUA